UCAAACUUGGUCAUUUAGAGGAAGUAAAAGUCGUAACAAGGUUUCCGUAGGUGAACCUGCGGAAGGAUCAUUAAUGAAUCGAACCAAAGCACCCCUUGGCUGAUGCUGGCCCCUUGGGGCAUGUGCACGCAUUUGAGGGCUGCAUCUUCAAUUCACUUUCACCUCCCUUGUGCACUCAAUGUAGGUCGUUUGGUUGGCAGUUUUGCACCAAAUACCUAUGAAUUUUUUUCCGUCUUUGUACGCACCUUAUAAUAGCAUGUUUAUAAGCAUAUAUGGCUUUUUUAAAAUAUAAAAUACAACUUUCAACAACGGAUCUCUUGGCUCUCGCAUCGAUGAAGAACGCAGC
rnacentral:misc_RNA from 1 species